CUACCUCUUGACAUGUAGUAUGAACAUAAAGCACAGUUGAUUCCUGAGCUGUGAUGACUUUCCACUGACCAUACUACUGCAAUGAUGUUAUUCUGGGCCAAACUUCGGAAUCAAUUCUUGUCUGCUGCCUGAUUCAAUUAUUUUUAAUGCACCCUGUGGAUUUUUACUUGCUAAAGUAGAAAGAAGAUCCCAACAUUUGAUGAGAAAAUAUACAGAAGGCAUAGGUCACAUGUCUGACUCACAGCUGCGAUGUGGUGGAUCCAAAUCUCUCUGAGGCCAAAUACUGCCCAGCUCGAAUGAACGCUAUGCUCCAUGCCUGAAACAACUGCUCCAGCCCUCAGAAAAGAGUCUCCCAUUCAACUGAAGUCUGCAUAUCAGAUUCCCGUGGGAUAAUUCAUAAAGGCUCCUUGAAGUUAAUUCUGGGUAUAUCCUGAAAUAGAGGGUCUCCUCUGUUUUUUCUUCUUUUUUUCCACAACUGAGGAGACACUAGUGCCUACUUAUCUCAAUAAUGGGAUUUCUCUUUGAUGCAA
rnacentral:lncRNA from 1 species